rnacentral:rRNA from 1 species
UACGUAGGGGGGCAAGCGUUGUCCGGAAUCAUUGGGCGUAAAGAGCGUGUAGGCGGCUUGGUAAGUCCGCUGUGAAAGUCCAGGGCUCAACCCUGGAAUGCCGGUGGAAACUGUCAAGCUGAGUCCGGAAGAGGCGAGUGGAAUUCCUGGUGUAGCGGUGAAAUGCGCAGAUAUCAGGAGGAACACCAAUGGCGAAGGCAGCUCGCUGGGACGGUACUGACGCUGAGACGCGAAAGCGUGGGGAGCAAACAGG